ensembl:misc_RNA Y_RNA Y RNA
AGCUUGUCUGAGUGCAGUGGUGUUUACAACUGGUUGGUCACAACUGGUUACAGAUUUCUUUGUUCUUUCUCUACUCUCACUACUUUACUUGACUAACCAAAA